rnacentral:rRNA from 1 species
AUGGACUGCAUCGGCGCUAUAGAUGGUACACAUAUUCCAUUGAAAUUACCUGUUCAUGAGCAAGAACCAUAUCGCAAUAGGAAGCAAACAUUGUCACAAAAUGUUAUGGUAGCAUGCGGUUUUGAUUUAAAGUUUGUGCAUGUACAUGCUGGUUGGGAGGGAUCGGCUUCAGAUGCAAGAGUCCUACAAGAUGCAGUUAACCAUGGGUUUCAAGUACCCCCCGGAAAAUUUUACCUUGUAGAUGCUGGUUAUGCAAAUACACCACAAUUUCUGGCUCCAUAUUGCGGUACUAGGUACCACUUGCAAGAACAAGGGAGAGUUCGUCAAAGGCCAAGAAAUCAUAAGGAAUUAUUCAACCUACGACAUGCACAACUCCGAAACCAUAUCGAGAGGAUUAUUGGUAUACUAAAAAUGAGAUUACCGAUACUGAGAGUGGCUUCACAUUACUCUGUUACCAAACAAAUUGACAUAUCAGUUGCUAGUUGUGUGCUGCACAAUUUCAUACAUUUGCAUAAUGGAGAUCUAUCUUGGCCUGAGAAUACUGCUGUGGAGAUUGAUCAAGAACAAUUUGUUGAUGUGCCAAGUGGAGAUCACAAGUAUCAUAACGACAUACAUGCAUUUAAUUACUCUAGAGAUGCCGGGAAUCAAAAGCGAGAAGAUAUAGCACAACAAAUGUGGGCACAGUAUGUAUCACAAAGAUCUUAG